rnacentral:piRNA from 1 species
CGAGGUUUAGAAUAGGUGGUCUCUUGC